rnacentral:rRNA from 1 species
UUCUUUCCUCCCGAGUGCUUGCACUCAAUUGGAAAGAGGAGUGGCGGACGGGUGAGUAACACGUGGGUAACCUACCCAUCAGAGGGGGAUAACACUUGGAAACAGGUGCUAAUACCGCAUAACAGUUUAUGCCGCAUGGCAUAAGAGUGAAAGGCGCUUUCGGGUGUCGCUGAUGGAUGGACCCGCGGUGCAUUAGCUAGUUGGUGAGGUAACGGCACACCAAGGCCACGAUGCAUAGCCGACCUGAGAGGGUGAUCGGCCACACUGGGACUGAGACACGGCCCAGACUCCUACGGGAGGCAGCAGUAGGGAAUCUUCGGCAAUGGACGAAAGUCUGACCGAGCAACGCCGCGUGAGUGAAGAAGGUUUUCGGAUCGUAAAACUCUGUUGUUAGAGAAGAACAAGGACGUUAGUAACUGAACGUCCCCUGACGGUAUCUAACCAGAAAGCCACGGCUAACUACGUGCCAGCAGCCGCGGUAAUACGUAGGUGGCAAGCGUUGUCCGGAUUUAUUGGGCGUAAAGCGAGCGCAGGCGGUUUCUUAAGUCUGAUGUGAAAGCCCCCGGCUCAACCGGGGAGGGUCAUUGGAAACUGGGAGACUUGAGUGCAGAAGAGGAGAGUGGAAUUCCAUGUGUAGCGGUGAAAUGCGUAGAUAUAUGGAGGAACACCAGUGGCGAAGGCGGCUCUC